ensembl:snoRNA small nucleolar RNA SNORD65
ACAUGAUGAAAUCUGAACUGAAAACAGCUGGAAUUACCGGCAGACUGUUCAGUGGUGACAUUCGGUUUUCUGAGC